rnacentral:hammerhead_ribozyme from 1 species
GCACUGUUGACGAGUCCCAAACAGAACGAAGCAGCUGUCCAGUGC